rnacentral:pre_miRNA from 1 species
AAAAAAGCAAACUCUGGGUUUCCGUGUCUAACUUUGACUGUCCGUCUUAUAUGAAAUUAUUUUAUAAUUUGUAUUUUUAUUGUUGUUAGAUGAUAAAACAUGAUUAAUAUUUUAUGUGUGACUUGUCUUUUAAAUUUUUUUUAUAAUUUUUUCAAAUAAGACGGACGGUUAAACGUUGGACACGGAAACCAGGGUUUGUCUUUUU